UACGUAGGCAGCGAGCGUUGUUCGGAAUUACUGGGCGUAAAGAGUGUGUAGGCGGUGCUCUAAGUUCGGUGUGAAAUCUCCUGGCUCAACUGGGAGGGUGCGCCGGAAACUGGAGUGCUUGAGCGUGGGAGAGGAAAGCGGAAUUCCUGGUGUAGCGGUGAAAUGCGUAGAUAUUGGGAGGAACACCAGUGGCGAAGGCGGCCACCUGGACCGGUUCUGACGCUGAUGCGCGAAAGCGUGGGUAGCAAACAGG
rnacentral:rRNA from 1 species